GCCGUGGUUGUCUGGGUGGCAACAGAUGAUGCAGUUGCGGUUGGCGUUGGCACAACAACUGGUGUGGGAGUUGCCGUUGGGCUCGGCGUCACCGUC
rnacentral:tRNA from 1 species